CUCCCAAGUGCUGGGAUAGAUGACUUAUAGAUUAGUUAUCUAUUGCUAUGUAAGAAGUUACUCCAAAACAUAGCUUAAAACAACAAUAAAAAUGUUAUCUCACAUUGGCUGUGUGGUUUGUUUGGAGUUUGCUCUGUAGCCCAGGCUGGCCUCAAACUUAACAGUCCCUCCCGCCUCCACCUCCUUGGUGCUGGGAUCACAAGCGUGCAUCACCUUGCCUGAUUUUUCACACUCUUUUUGAGUUAGAAAGUUGGGAGCUGCGAUUCUGGGUAGUUAUGGCUCAGGAUCUUCCAUGAUGCUGUAGUCACGAUGUCAAUGGGGAUCUAUGGGCAGGAGAUUGCGUCCCAGCUCAGACACUCAGGCAUGAUAAAUACAACCUUCCUCUGCCUUUUUGUUCUUUCUGCUUUCAGUGGGUUGGAUGGUGCCUACCUUCACCGGGGAGGGCCGUCUGCUUUACUCAUCCAUCAACUCAAAAGCUAAUCUCCUCCAGAAACACCCUCACAGAUACACUCUGCUAUGUGUAGUCAGCUACCUGCUGUGACCAUACAUAUGAUCACAGGCACAAACUGCUCCCUACCUUCUCCCCGCUCUGUACUUGGGGUGCUGAUUAUCCAUGGCAUGCUGUAAUGUCACCAUCAAGUCAUCGCCUGAAGCUGAUGUGAACUAACUAAAGCAUUUGCACUGAAACAACUGGCUGCUGCACUUGCCCACCCUGGUGCCGCUGAUACACGAAUGUGACAUGGGGUACACUACUUUUCGUGUACUACAACUUUCACAGUGAGAAAAUGACAAGCUUAGACUCUAACUCAGUUCAAGUCACAAUUUGAGAACUAGAGAACUUCCCCAACGGCGCAGAAAUUAUUUCUUGUAGCCAUGUAAUGGUACCAUUGAAAAAGCACUUAUGAAAGAUGUGAAAUUUAAUGCGUUAGCUUGUGUAGUUGUAGGUGGCUUUCACAGCUUCUCCUUUUGGCUGGCUGAAAUUUGGACUCAAAGGAGGCCUUCAGUUAAUGAGGCUGAGAUGCCAGAGCUGCAGUGCAUGCCGGGAAAGGAACACAAAGCCACCUCUCCCGGACUCUCUUCCUCUCAGUCUUCCCCUGCCUUCUCACCACUGUAUCCUCGACCCCAAGGGAUGUCAUUUCAGCUCCUGAAUAUCCAUCUCUCCCUCUUGUCAGGGGCUCCUGUUCUCUUUGCUUAGAAGGUUCUUCCUCCAAAACGGCUUCUCCUCAUCUGUCUAGUCUCAGCUUAAAUGUCUUCUUCCCUGCUACUGAAGUUCCUACCAUACUCCGCUGCUUCACCUCGUUCCUUCUGGUAUCUGCCAUUACUUGUAGUUAAUGUAUCGUUUAUCUGUCAAUUGCCUUUUCUCCGACUGCAGCUAAGGGCAAGGAUCAUGAUUGGUUUUUCGUUGCUUAUUCCUCUACAUUUAGCAAAAGACCUAGAAUGCAGCCAUUCGUUUUGUAUUUGAAAAAUGAAGCCGGGUGUGAUGGCACACGCUUGUAACGCCAGCACCGAGGGCGGCAGGAGUAGUGAGGUCGCAAGUUCAAAUCCCACCCGGACAAUUUAGCUAGCAAGGUCGUGUGCUGAAGUUUAAGGGGAUCUGAGGAUGUAGCUCAGUGGUAGAGCGCCCCUGCGUUCGAUCUCCAGUAUCAAUAAAUUAAUCAAUCAACGGGAAAAAGAAAGAAAAACGAACGGUCAAAGGCUGCAGAACUCGUCGUUAACAUUGCCCCGCCCUCUGUCCCUCACGCAUCACUCAAAGCCAAGGCCCAGCCUCAUACUCCCCGCCGGGGUUUCCCGGGCGCCCCAGGAAGGGCCCAGUCUCCCUUCCAGCAGCUCAGCCAAGGCUGGGGCCGCACCAGCUCCCAACAGUUCCACUGAGAUCCAGGAUUCCCGCGGCGCGGCCGGAAGUGACGCAAGAAGCGGAAGCGGUCCGGGCCCCAAGGACGCAGGAGGCUCCGUUCUCAUUGGUUGACCCGGGAAGAUGACAGCAGUACUAGGCCGGCUGUGAGCGUUCAAGGAUCGGCGCGGCGGAGCGAGGCAUCCAGUCCCCCGCUGUUUCGUAACCAUGGCCGGGAAAAGGAAACCGGGACAGCUUGGCGCCGAAGCCUCGAGCCGUUAGCCAGGCAACCGUGCGGUUUCUGGCGUGGAAGAAAAAUGGAGGACGUGAGCACAAACUCAGCCAUGAUUGGUCGAUUUUGCGGGAAUCCCGACACUUGAUUGGCCGAGACAGGCUUGAGGGCGGGACCUCCGAUUCAGAACCUUUCGGGUGUUGGGCUCCUUUGAGGGUAGGCGGGGGGAAUCCUGGCCGCGCCCCCACGCCCCGCGAGCUCGAGGAGCUGUCAGGUCUAGGCAGAGCCCCUGGACCCUGAGCGCUGGCCACAGAAAAGGGGUGGAAAGCGAGCGUGGCCUGUUUCCUUUGCCCUCAUCCUGAACCAGUCAGGUGGAGUUUUGCUGCGGCAGAGAGGCUAAGAUAUGAAAGGAGAAACAUUUCUGCUGGAUACUGUGAUCUCUGAGGUCCCCCGAGGCCACAGUGAAGUCUGAGUGACCCCCUGGAUGACUGGACAGCCCUCUGACUGGCUCAAGCCCUGACACUUGGCCCCAGCACACUGCCCACAUGACCUGAGGAACUGAAGUCAAACCAGGCAGUGCUCGCUGUCCAGGUGACUCCUCUUUGCCCUCAUGACCAGAGACUAUAGCUCCAGCGUCAUUUUAACGUUUCCUUCCUACCUACGCAUUAGAAAAUGAGCUCCUUGAGAGCAACCUGUCUUACUGUGAGAGCCCCCUCAGCCCAUUAUAUUCAACCAAGCAGAGAAAUGCCACUUCUGGUUGAAUGAAGCCAAGAGGACAAGCUGAAGGGAGAAAUCAGCUUUCUUUCUGGCCUCAGAAAUAACCAUCUAAUUCAGCUAGUCCUGCCAGCAGUCCUAAGCCCCACUAGCAGCUUCCAGACACCACUAAGCGCUGCCUAGGCUCAUCAGUCAGCAGUUUGCCAGUGUCCAGGUGACUUUAUUCCCUGGGCCACUCCCAUGGCCUCCUGAGUUCCAUGUCCCUGAAGGUGAAGACUGCCUGUUCUAGUUCUAUUAGAGCCCUGCCACAUAAUAUCAUGCGCUUAUUAAUAAACAAGGAUACAAGGUAUAAAAGUCUUA